rnacentral:lncRNA from 1 species
GGCAGGGAGGUGUUGGGGGCAUUUAUUUCUGAUAGAGACUGGCACAAGCUUUGGGCUAAGGACACCCGCCCCCACCCUCAUCUAGAAACAAUCUCUCUCGCCAGACUUGAUGGCUCACGCCUGUAAUCCCAGCACUUCGGGAGGCCGAGUCAGGCAGAUCACAAGGUCAAGAGAUGGAGGCCAUCCUGGCCAACAUGGUGAAACCCCAUCUCUACUAAAAAUACAAAAAUGAGCUGGGCAUGGCGGCGUGUGCCUGUAGUCCCAGCUACUCAGGAGGCUGAAGCAGGAAAAUCGCUUGAACCCGUGUUGCAGUGAGCCAAGAUCGCGCCAGCCUGGCGACAGAGUGAGACUCCGUCUCAAAAAAAAAAAAAAAAAAAAAAAAAGUAAAGAAAAGAAACAAUCUCUCUCAGGGUCCAGAAGCUUCAGGGCGAUAGACAGGAUGGCGAUGAUGACCACGGUGCCCGGGCUCUGGGGGCCAGGGACAGCCCGAAGUGCCUGGGCUGAGGGCAGUGAUGGGGGCCGCAUAGGCGGGCAGGAAAAGAAAUUUUACCUGACCGGAAGGGGCCCUUGGGCAGAAUCCAGACCAAUCACCGCCCUGCCUCCCCUACCACCACCCAGGCCUGGGGGAAGGGGGUGGCUGGGGGAGGGGCGCCUGCAGAUUGCAAGAUGGUUGGCUGCCUCUGACUGAGUGGUGAGCUGACCUGUUCCCCCAGCCCAUCCUCAGUCCUCAGGACCCCCAGGCCCCAGCCCCCUGCCCCUA